CCAAUCGAACCCGGAGAUAGCUGGUUCUCCUCGAAAUAGCUUUAGGGCUAGCCUCAUGGAUCAUUGGUGGGGGUAGAGCACUGAAUGUGCGCGGGGGCCACAAAGCCUACCAAACGCUAUCAAACUUCGAAUACCAUACAAUGCAGACCAUGGGAGUCAGUCCGCGAGAGAUAAGUUCCGCGGGCAAAAGGGGAACACCCCAGAUCAACCGCUAAGGUCCCCAAGUUCACGUUAAGUGGAGAAGGAUGUGGAAUUGCACAGACAACCAGGAUGUUGGCUCAGAAGCAGCCACACAUUUAAAGAGUGCGUAAUAGCUCACUGGUCGAGUGAUUGUGCGCCGAAGAUGUCCGGGGCUAAACGUGACACCGAAGCGAUGGGUGCAUCUGAAAGGAUGCGCGGUAGAGGAGCAAUGUGCAGAGGCAGAAGCCGUAUCGAGAGGCACGGUGGACACUGCACAAGAGAGAAUGCCGGUAUGAGUAGCGAGAGGCAUGCGAGAAACAUGCCCGUCGAAAGCCCAAGGUUUCCUGGGGAAGGUUCAUCCGCCCAGGGUAAGUCGGGGCCUAAGCCGAGGACGGAAGUCGUAGGCGAUGGACAGCAGGUGUAGAUUCCUGCACUACCGAUGGAAUGAAGCAGUGACACAGAAGGAUAACUCGAGCAGGGUGAUGGUCAACCCUGUGCAAGCAUCAAGGUUGGGUUGUAGUGAAGUACGCAAUCCUAUAAGCUGAGAUGUGAUGCGGACCGAAAUUUCAGUAGGGAAGCGAGUGAGUUCACGCUGGCGAGAAAAGCUGCUAGUACAUCCAAAGGUACCCGUACCGGAAACCGACGCAGGUGGGCGAGGAGAGAAUCCUGAGACGAACGGGAGAACCCUUGUUAAGGAACUCGGCAAAAUGACCCCGUAACUUCGGGAGAAGGGGUGCUGCAGAGAUGCAGCCGCAGAGAAGAGUCCCAAGCGACUGUUUAGCAAAAACACAGGUAUCUGCGAAAGCGAGAGCUGACGUAUAGGUGCUGACACCUGCCCGGUGCUGGAAGGUUAAGGGGAACUGUUAGAGCAAUCGAAGCAGAGAACCGAAGCCCCAGUAAACGGCGGCCGUAACUAUAACGGUCCUAAGGUAGCGAAAUUCCUUGUCGGGUAAGUUCCGACCCGCACGAAUGGCGUAACGACUUGUGAGCUGUCUCAACAGGAGGCCCGGUGAAAUUGAAGUAUGUGUGAAGAUGCACAUUACCCGCGACUGGACGGAAAGACCCCGUAGAGCUUUACUGUAACCUGACAUUGGAUCUUGAUAACGGAUGCACAGGAUAGGUGGGACGCUGGGAGACGAGGACUUUGGUUUUCGUGGAGCGGCCGUUGGGAUACCACUCUUCUGUUAUUGAGAUUCUAACCUCAAGCCGUGAGCCGGAUGAGAGACAGUGUCAGGCGGACAGUUUGACUGGGGCGGUCGCCUCCGAAAGAGUAACGGAGGCGCCCAAAGGUACCCUCAGAAUGGAUGGAAACCAUUCGAAGAGAGCAAAGUCAGAAGGGUGCUUGACUGCGAGACCAACAAGUCGAGCAGGUACGAAAGUAGGGCUUAGUGAUCCGGCGGUAAGAGAGUGGAAUUGCCGUCGCUCAACGGAUAAAAGCUACCUCGGGGAUAACAGGCUGAUCUCCCCCAAGAGUCCACAUCGACGGGGAGGUUUGGCACCUCGAUGUCGGCUCAUCGCAUCCUGGGGCUGUAUUCGGUCCCAAGGGUUUGGCUGUUCGCCAAUUAAAGCGGCACGCGAGCUGGGUUCAGAACGUCGUGAGACAGUUCGGUCCCUAUCCAUCGUGGGCGUAGGAGUCAUGAGAGGAGCUGUUCCUAGUACGAGAGGACCGGAAUGGACGCACCACUGGUGCAACUGUUGUCGUGCCAACGGCAUAGCAGGGAAGCGAAGUGCGGAUGGGAUAAACGCUGAAGGCAUCUAAGCGUGAAGCCCACCUCAAGAAUAAGACUCCACAAUAGACCCCUGGAGGACUACCAGGUAGAUAGGUCAUCGGUGGAAGCGCUGUAAGGCGUGUAGCUUGAUGAUACUAAUCGGUCGAAAGCUUCAUUUA
rnacentral:rRNA from 1 species